rnacentral:rRNA from 1 species
AUUGAACGCUGGCGGCAUGCUUUACACAUGCAAGUCGAACGGUAACAGGCCGCAAGGUGCUGACGAGUGGCGAACGGGUGAGUAAUGCAUCGGAACGUGCCCAGUCGUGGGGGAUAACGCAGCGAAAGCUGCGCUAAUACCGCAUACGAUCUAUGGAUGAAAGCGGGGGACCGUAAGGCCUCGCGCGAUUGGAGCGGCCGAUGGCAGAUUAGGUAGUUGGUGGGGUAAAGGCUCACCAAGCCAACGAUCUGUAGCUGGUCUGAGAGGACGACCAGCCACACUGGGACUGAGACACGGCCCAGACUCCUACGGGAGGCAGCAGUGGGGAAUUUUGGACAAUGGGCGCAAGCCUGAUCCAGCCAUUCCGCGUGCAGGAUGAAGGCCUUCGGGUUGUAAACUGCUUUUGUACGGAACGAAACGGCCUCUUCUAAUACAGGGGGCUAAUGACGGUACCGUGAGAAUAAGCACCGGCUAACUACGUGCCAGCAGCCGCGGUAAUAC